AAUCAACGCUGGCGGCGUGCCUAACACAUGCAAGUCGUACGAGAAAGCGGGGGCAACUCCGCGAGUACAGUGGCGUACGGGUGAGUAACACGUGACUAACCUACCUUCGAGUGGGUGAUAACCUCGGGAAACCGGGGCUAAUACCGCAUAACAUCGCAAGAUCAAAGCAGCAAUGCGCUUGAAGAGGGGGUCGCGGCUGAUUAGCUAGUUGGUGGGGUAAUGGCCCACCAAGGCAGUGAUCAGUAGCCGGCCUGAGAGGGCGCACGGCCACACUGGAACUGAAACACGGUCCAGACUCCUACGGGAGGCAGCAGUGGGGAAUUUUGCGCAAUGGGGGAAACCCUGACGCAGCAACGCCGCGUGGAGGAUGAAGGUCUUUGGAUUGUAAACUCCUUUCGACCGGGACGAUUAUGACGGUACCGGUAGAAGAAGCACCGGCUAACUCUGUGCCAGCAGCCGCGGUAAUACAGAGGGUGCAAGCGUUGUUCGGAAUUAUUGGGCGUAAAGGGCGC
rnacentral:rRNA from 1 species